AACCAGCACCUCAAGUGGUCAGGAGGAUUAUUGGGCCUAAAGCAUCCGUAGCCGGCUCUGUAAGUUUUCGGUUAAAUCUAUAUGCUCAACGUAUAGGCUGCCGAAAAUACUGCACAGCUAGGGAAUGGGAGAGGUAGACGGUACUCGGUAGGAAGGGGUAAAAUCCUUUGAUCUAUCGAUGACCACCUGUGGCGAAGGCGGUCUACCAGAACAUGUUCGACGGUGAGGGAUGAAAGCUGGGGGAGCAAACCGG
rnacentral:rRNA from 1 species